UUUUUUGUUUUUUUUUUUUUUUGGUCAUUUUAGGGCCGAACCUGCAGCACAUGAGGUUUCCAGGCUAGGGGUCGAAUUGGAGCUGUAGCUGCUGUGAUGUAGAUCACAGCCACAGCAACGCCAGAUCCGAGCUGUGUCUUCAACCUCCGCCACAGCUCAAGGUAAUACCUUACCCUUAACCCACUGAGCGAGGCCAGGGAUCGAACCUAUGUCGUCUUGGAUGCUAGUCAGAAUCUGCUGAGCCACAAUGGGAACUCCCGCAAGAGUAGGUUAACUGCGGUAUAGUCAAACAACAGAAUGCUUUACAAAGGCAAUUAGGAGGAAUUAAACACAAGAUUUUAUCAAAUCCAAUCUAUCACAAUUUAAGAAGCGUCGUAAUUUCUCAGAUGUUAAAUCAUGAAAAAGUAGAACAUGUAGUAAAUAUAGCUAUACCUCAAAGACAGAGUAUUAGGGAAAAACGGGUUUCAAAUUAUAGAUACAACGGAUUUUUCCCAUAAAAUUAAAAAAAUAUACAAAAUAGCCCUCUGUACUUUUUUAAGUAUACAUAUGUAAGAAGAGAAUGAAAACAUACAUGGGAAUGGUACACAUUAAUAUCAGGAUAGUUAUUUCUUAGUGAAGAAAGGGGGAAGAAUGAAAAAAGGUCAAAUUUUAGCUGCAUCUCUUAGUAUUUCCUUCCUUCCUCCUUCCUGCCUGCCCACCUUCCAUCCUUUCUCUUUUUGCUUUUUAGGGUCACACCUGCGGCACAUGGAAGUUUCCGGAUCAUUAACCCACUACGCAAGGCCAAGGACUGAACCCACGUCCCCAUGGAUACUAGUCGGGUUCCUUACCACUGAGCAACAAUAGGAACUCCCUUAUUUCUUAUUAAAAAAGAAAAAAGGAAAGCAUCUUUUACAUAAAGUGAGUUUCUCUACCCCAUGAAAGGACAGACACAAAUGCACUCACUCUAUAACACUAUUCUGGAAUGUUUAUUCUUAAAAGACAAAGAAACAUUGCUUGUUAAACAUUCCUGAGAGAUUUUAUUGCUCACCUUCAGAGAGGAGAGAGAACGCGCGCGCGCGCGCGCGUGUGUGUGUGUGUGUGUGUGUGUGUGUGCGCGUGCGCGCACGCGCGCUGGGGGGUGGUCAUUAAGAAUUUGAAAAAUGUGACAUUAACAUCUUUUAAACUUGGAGAUUAAGAUCAUAAUGGUUUGCUUUAUUAUUUCCCAGAUGCCAGGCAGAGUUUUUACUUGAAAAUUGAAAAAAUAAAAUGAAAAAAUGUGCCAUGCACAAUAUAAAAUGUGAGCUCUAUCAAGAUUUUGGGAAAUAAACAAUUACUACAUUAUAUAAACUGAAAAUAUAUCUAUUUUUUCCCACAGAAAAAUGGGGACAGCGUUCCAACACACUCUAAAGGCUAGCAAAACCCUUCAUACCAAUACUGGAGUAAGGAAAACACACAACAACACCAAAGUAACAAACCAAUCUCAAUACUCAACAUGAAUGAAUAAUAUAGGGAUACUGAGUGAAAUGUUAUUAGCACUCUGAGUCUAGCAGUAUGACCAAACUGGGUUAAUCCUACCAAAGCAAGGAUGAUUCUAUAUAUGAAAUCUAUUCAUAUAAUUCGUUACACUGAUAGCACACACACAUAUAUAUAUUUAAAACAUUAACUGCCAUGCAAACAUGGGAUUCAACACACAUUCCAGAUUUUAUUUUUCUUUUUUAGUAACCCUGAUUAAACAGAAAUAGAAACUUUCUCAAACUGAAAAAGGACAGGGUGCUUUCCAUUUAACAAUGCUCUGGAAGUGCCAACCAACAUAAUUAGACCAGAAAAACAUGACAUAUAGUAGCGGAACAAUCUGAAACACCAGCAAAACUGUUUAAGAGAGUGUUCUGUAUCUAACAAAUCCAAGAGAAUUAACCGAAAACCUAGUACAACUAAUAAAAGCUCAGCAAAGUGGCUGCAAAUAUAACACAGCAGGCACAACCAGUCAGAUAACAGAAUAACAAUAACAAUGUUAGCAAUAACAACAAAAUCCAUAAAGUAUCUUUUUGAAGAGGUAAAGCCUAUUCUUAUGAAGAAAAUAGCAAAAUUAUAUUGAAAGGAAGGACUUCAAAAAACUUAUCUCAGUGGGUCGACUCGAUAUUGUAAAGAUGUUGAUAUUCUGUAAGGGGAAAUAACAAGAAUAGCAAAGAAUAACACAUAAGACAUUGUUAAAAUUAAAAUUAAGGGGAAAAUUUCAGACUAAAUAUAAAAACUUAUUAUAUAGGUUUAGUAAUCACAUUAGAUAUUGGUACAGGCAAAGACAAAGAGAUCAAUGAAACAUGAGUCCAAAACCAGGUCCAAGGAGAUAAAGAUCUUUACUUCAUGAUAAUAUACGGCAAUUCAAACCAGUGGUUAUAAAACAAACCAUACAAUAAACUGUGUUAAGAAAAGUAAGUAUACACUUAGGACAAAAUUGAGUUGGACCACAAUUAUGCACAACAGACAAAAGUAAUACCCCGAUGGAUUAAAUGAUCUAAUGUUUAAAAACAAGUACAUGUAUUAGAAUAUGUGUUAGAAGAAGAAAAUAUUUUCAAAAUCUUGUAGUAAGCACAAAACUCAGAGGCCACAAUGAAAAAUACUGACAGCUAUAAUCUCACAAAGAGGAAGAACUCCUGUACUAUGUGACAGAAGACACCAUUUAAAACAAGCUUAAAGAUAAGGGACUCACUAGCGGAUAUCUCGCAUAUAUUUAACAGGCAGGUGAAUAACGUGAGAAUACAUAGAGAGCUCAUGGAAGGGUGGCAAACUCACUGGUAGCAUAUAUGCUAGUCCAAAAUUGCAGUACCUUUUUCUUUUUUGUAACAAAAUGUAUCAGGGUGUGGAUAAAGUCUCUAACCCAGGCCUACCUCCUCCUUUUUCACCCGGAGAUAACCACAAUACUAAAAAGACAAGGAGGUAAAUAGAAAAAUGGGAAAGAAUAUGAACAAGUAGAAAGAACCAAUCAAAAGGAAAAAUGUUUCAUUUGUAACUGGCAAAAUGCAAAUGAAAACAAAGUAAUUUUAUAACCGCAGGACUGACAGAAAUUAAAAGCAGUACUGAUUGGUAGACUUUUGGGAAAGUCAUUUGGCAGAAUCAAAGGGAACUCCACGAUUCUCUGCCUAGAAACUAUUUCUUAUAGGAAAUCUGGCACUUCAGCACAAAGAAAUACAUAGGAAAGAUCAUUUUACUGUACUGUUUGUAACAGUGAAAAAUGUAAAUACCCCAAAUGCCCAUCUAAAUAGAAGCGUGAUUAAAUAAAUCAUGGCAUAUCUAUACAAUGAAUCUUACACAAUUACUAAUAGGGUAAGAUAAACCCACAUGUGCUGACAGCUUUAUAAAAACAUUAAGUAGAGGAAAAGGUUGUAGAAAGGUACAGUAUGGUCCCACUUGGAUAAAACAGAGGACAUACAGGUAUAUACGAGUGAGAAACUUAGACCUGAAAUCCUGAUCUAGUGAACCAAAAGAUGAUUUUUGUGUUUUGCCCUGAAUGCCUAUGUUGUUUCUAGCUCCUUUCUUUUUUAUUUUAUUUCUAUUUCUAAGGCUGUACCUAUGGCAUAUGGAAGUUGCCCGGCUAGGAGUUGAAUCAGAGCUGCAGCUGGGGUCUAUGCUGCAGCUUGCGGCAACACCAGUUCCUUAACCCACUGAGUGAGGCCAGGGAUCAAACCUGCCAGCUCACAGACACGAUGUUGGUCUAAGCCACAACGGGAACUCCUCUACCUCCUUUCUAUGGGAAAGUAUUUAGGAAGUACCUGUGUGAGGUUUUACAUCAGAAAAGAUGUUCAACUGACUGUUACUUAACGUGAAUGUUGUCUUGCUUACCUGAGUAACAGAACUACAGAACUCAGUUCUAACAAUUACUAGUUAUGAACACUUUGAAGCUCGAGGACAAGGUAAUUGCUUCUUCAGAGCAAACUACUAAGCUAAGCUAAUCUUAGAGUUAACUAACGGAAUUCCCUGUUCAUAGUCCUUUCAACUGUAUUACACACCCUUCUAAAGCUGUCAUGUUUAAAGGCCUAAUAGAGCCCCAGCUUUCUUCUUUUGCUCCCAAAUGAGCAUAUCUGGUACACACCUAACCUUGAAACAUUCACACACCACCUUGAAGGGGCUAAUGGUAUUAUCAUCUCUCUGGGAUUCUUACGCAUAACUACAGGCACUCAAGAGGCAUAAUGCAGACUAGUGAACCUAGUUACUCAUCCACUCAAGAAUGUAAAUUAUGUAAAGGAAAUGAAAUUACAUUUUCAACCAUUGCUUUCUAAGAUCUCGGUCUGAAGCAUAAAUAGAAAGCAGUGUUGGUUUAAGUAAACUAUUUGAAUUCCGGUCCAAAUCAAUGGCAUAAGCAUUAUUUCAGACCAUCAACUCUGACUGGCUCUCCUCUUUGACCUCUGGGCAACACUGUAAAAUGUCGAUAGGACUCAUUUCUUACAAUGUAGGCAAACAAAUAACAGAGUAUCCCAUAAAAUGUGGCUAAUAUUAUGUGAUUGCCUUGACUAGGAGAUGCCAACACAACUUGAGAAUUACGUCAAUACUUCUUCAGGAUUUAUUAAUAUUUAUUCCAUCAAUGUCAGUUUGAUGACUAAUAUUUGAGGUAGUAGAGAAAGGGCACAGCUUUGGAGUAAAACAGAUGUGAUCAACUCCUAAGUCAUCACUUCAGAGAAGAGGAAUCUCAAGGAAACCACAAUCUGUGACCCUCAAUUCCCUCAUUUGUUAAAGGACCUACCAUCAAUCACUACAGUGAGGACUGCAUGAGAUGACAGUAUUUUGUGAAGCUUUUAGUAAGGUUAUCUGGCACAACACAUGAUCAGAUUCCUUCAUCUUAAAUCGAACAAUUUUUAAUGUCUGUUAUUCAUCUACAUUUUAAGGCUGUAAAGUUUAGAUUUAUUCAACAGUUUUGAGUACUAACUGCACUAGGCACUGUGAUGAGUGCUAGAGCCAAACUAGUAAACAAAAAGACCAAUUCUGUCUUCAUGCAGUUUACAAUGUUGGACAUAGUGGGAUAGGCAUUAAUCGGAUACCCCAAAUGCCAACUGUGCUAAGCUCUAUAAGAAGUAAGCUAAGAGGACACAGAACAGCGGGGUUUGCCCUGAUCAGAGAAAUCUAUAAAGGCUUCCUUAGGGAAAAUCCUUACUUGUAGUGUGAAUAGGAAACAACUAGAUAUAGCAGAAAAAAGGAAGAAUGCUCCAUGCAGAAAGAAUAGACUUUUGCUUUAUCUUUUGGAUGUCUAUAUACCUUUAAAUGCACCCUAAUAGCUUGUGCCUCUGGCAAUCAGGUACACGGGGACUGAAAGAAUGGUGCAGCUGACACAGACUAAGAAGAAAAGACUGGCUAGACAGGAGUGACCAAAGAUGCAGAGCUCUGUAGGUCACAUGCUAAACGCAAUGGUGAAGUGUUAAAGGGUUUGUAUGUAGGGUUUGCUGUUGCUGCUGCUGAUGGGAUCACUGUAUUUCACAAUAGUCUGGCUACACUGUGAAAAUGAAUUUGAGGUCAGGCAAGAGUAAACGUGAGCAGAUGAGUUUGGAUGCAAAGAAAUGAGAACUUAAAGAAGAUGCAAUGGUGAAAAUAUUAGAAAAAUUCCAGGGAUAAUCAGAAGGUAAAGUCAAGAGGACUUGACGACAGACUGGUUAUGAUUCUAAGAAAGAGGAGGAGUUGGAAGCAAUUUCUAGAUUGCUGAUUUAUAUUACUAGCUAAAUGAUAGUUCUAUUUUCAGAGAUAUGAAAAUGAGCAGAAACAGGAAGGAAAGGUUAUGUACUCAGUUUUAGACGUGUGGGGUCCAAAGAAUUUUUUUAAUUAAAAAAUAAUUUUUUAAAAAAAGGCCCAGAUCAUGCUACUCUUCUACUUAAGUCCUACAAUGGAUUCCCAUCAAACUUUGGAAAAAACACUUGAGAAGCAUACAGGCAUGAUCUGGCUCUGCUAUCUUCUGACUUUCUCUCCUACUCUGGUUGCUUUCACUCCAGAAACAUUGCCUUCUUGAAAUACCUGAUGGACUCAUUCUUCCCUAAGGACUUCUGUACUUACAUCUUCCCUCUGCCUAUAAUCUUUCCCCUCAUGCAGCUGGAUCCCUCACUUAAUGAAAGUCUAUGAUCAGAUGUCACCUCCUCAGAGAACCUUCUAUGACUAUACUCUGUAAAACAGCCUUCCUACUGAGAGGCUAGCUGGAGAAAAAAGCUGAAUGAAAUCCGCAGUCUUGCUAUGCUAAAGGGAAAGGCCCUACACGUAAUACAAGUCUUAGUCUGAAGACUUCUGAACCUAACAAAACCUGCAGUUCAAGCCCAGCUCCACGGAUUGAGGUAAUCCUGCUCUGAAAUACCUAACAAAAAACAAGGCACAUUCUCUCCUGGGGGGAGGGGAGUGGGGAAUUACAUCAACUCCAGUCCUUCAGUUCUUCUAUACACAUUCUCCUGUAUUAAGAGAAAAAAAAAAAUUAAAAGUCCUAUAAAAUGAGAGAAAGAAGUAUGACCAGGAUAAAUGUGACUGCUGAUUGAGG
rnacentral:lncRNA from 1 species